rnacentral:rRNA from 2 species
CAUGCAGUCGACGGUGAAGCCAAGCUUGCUUGGUGGAUCAGUGGCGAACGGGUGAGUAACACGUGAGCAACCUGCCCUGGACUCUGGGAUAAGCGCUGGAAACGGCGUCUAAUACUGGAUAUGAGACGUGAUCGCAUGGUCGUGUUUGGAAAGAUUUUUCGGUCUGGGAUGGGCUCGCGGCCUAUCAGCUUGUUGGUGAGGUAAUGGCUCACCAAGGCGUCGACGGGUAGCCGGCCUGAGAGGGUGACCGGCCACACUGGGACUGAGACACGGCCCAGACUCCUACGGGAGGCAGCAGUGGGGAAUAUUGCACAAUGGGCGGAAGCCUGAUGCAGCAACGCCGCGUGAGGGAUGACGGCCUUCGGGUUGUAAACCUCUUUUAGCAGGGAAGAAGCGAAAGUGACGGUACCUGCAGAAAAAGCGCCGGCUAACUACGUGCCAGCAGCCGCGGUAAUACGUAGGGCGCAAGCGUUAUCCGGAAUUAUUGGGCGUAAAGAGCUCGUAGGCGGUUUGUCGCGUCUGCUGUGAAAUCCCGAGGCUCAACCUCGGGUCUGCAGUGGGUACGGGCAGACUAGAGUGCGGUAGGGGAGAUUGGAAUUCCUGGUGUAGCGGUGGAAUGCGCAGAUAUCAGGAGGAACACCGAUGGCGAAGGCAGAUCUCUGGGCCGUAACUGACGCUGAGGAGCGAAAGGGUGGGGAGCAAACAGGCUUAGAUACCCUGGUAGUCCACCCCGUAAACGUUGGGAACUAGUUGUGGGGACCAUUCCACGGUUUCCGUGACGCAGCUAACGCAUUAAGUUCCCCGCCUGGGGAGUACGGCCGCAAGGCUAAAACUCAAAGGAAUUGACGGGGACCCGCACAAGCGGCGGAGCAUGCGGAUUAAUUCGAUGCAACGCGAAGAACCUUACCAAAGGCUUGACAUAUACGAGAACGGGCCAGAAAUGGGACAACUCUUUGGACACUCGUAAACAGGUGGUGCAUGGUUGUCGUCAGCUCGUGUCGUGAGAUGUUGGGUUAAGUCCCGCAACGAGCGCAACCCUCGUUCUAUGUUGCCAGCACGUAAUGGUGGGAACUCAUGGGAUACUGCCGGGGUCAACUCGGAGGAAGGUGGGGAUGACGUCAAAUCAUCAUGCCCCUUAUGUCUUGGGCUUCACGCAUGCUACAAUGGCCGGUACAAAGGGCUGCAAUACCGUGAGGUGGAGCGAAUCCCAAAAAGCCGGUCCCAGUUCGGAUUGAGGUCUGCAACUCGACCUCAUGAAGUCGGAGUCGCUAGUAAUCGCAGAUCAGCAACGCUGCGGUGAAUACGUUCCCGGGUCUUGUACACACCGCCCGUCAAGUCAUGAAAGUCGGUAACACCUGAAGCCGGUGGCCCAACCCUUGUGGAGGGAGCCGUCGAAU